rnacentral:rRNA from 1 species
GAUGAACGCUAGCGGGAGGCCUAACACAUGCAAGCCGAGCGGUAUUGUUUUUUCGGAAAUGAGAGAGCGGCGUACGGGUGCGGAACACGUGUGCAACCUGCCUUUAUCUGGGGGAUAGCCUUUCGAAAGGAAGAUUAAUACUCCAUAAUAUAUUGAACGGCAUCGUUUAAUAUUGAAAGCUCCGGCGGAUAGAGAUGGGCACGCGCAAGAUUAGCUAGUUGGUGAGGUAACGGCUCACCAAGGCGAUGAUCUUUAGGGGCCUGAGAGGGUGAUCCCCCACACUGGUACUGAGACACGGACCAGACUCCUACGGGAGGCAGCAGUGAGGAAUAUUGGUCAACGGUGCAAGCCUGACCAGCCAUCCGCGUGAAGGACGACUGCCCUAU